rnacentral:rRNA from 1 species
AGUCGAACGAGCGAGAGAGAGCUUGCUUUCUCAAGCGAGUGGCGAACGGGUGAGUAACGCGUGAGGAACCUGCCUCAAAGAGGGGGACAACAGUUGGAAACGACUGCUAAUACCGCAUAAGCCCACGACCCGGCAUCGGGUAGAGGGAAAAGGAGCAAUCCGCUUUGAGAUGGCCUCGCGUCCGAUUAGCUAGUUGGUGAGGUAACGGCCCACCAAGGCGACGAUCGGUAGCCGGACUGAGAGGUUGAACGGCCACAUUGGGACUGAGACACGGCCCAGACUCCUACGGGAGGCAGCAGUGGGGAAUAUUGCACAAUGGGGGAAACCCUGAUGCAGCGACGCCGCGUGGAGGAAGAAGGUCUUCGGAUUGUAAACUCCUGUUGUUGAGGAAGAUAAUGACGGUACUCAACAAGGAAGUGACGGCUAACUACGUGCCAGCAGCCGCGGUAAAACGUAGGUCACAAGCGUUGUCCGGAAUUACUGGGUGUAAAGGGAGCGCAGG